rnacentral:lncRNA from 1 species
AUACAGUUAAAGUUUUGGCAAUCAGGCGCCCACCUGGAGAGCACGAGAAUACAGUUCAAGUUCAGCAAUCAGGCGCCCACCUGGAGAGCACGGUAAUACAGUUAAAGUUUUGGCAAUCAGGCGCGGGAAUACAGUUAAAGUUCAGCAAUUAGGCACCCACCUGGAAAGCACGGGAAUACAGUUCAAGUUUUGGCAAUCAAGCGCCCACCUGGAGAGCACUGGAGUACAGUUCAAGUUUUGGUAAUCAGGCGACCACCUGGAGAGCAAGGGAGAGCAACACCAGUAUUAAGGAAGGGAAACAGUUUAAGUGUCGGUAAUCAGACAUCUACCUGGAGAAAUGGAAAGCAUCUCAGAUUAUAAUUUGAAUUCAGUAAUCAGGCGUCCACCUGAAGAAAAGGGAAAGUGUCUAAGAUCACAACUCAAGUUGGCAACAGAGGGACCUCACCGGGAGAAUACAAGUCAACAAGGAAACAAGAAUCACAAGAUCAAGUUUGAGGACAUAGAUAGGAUUGUUGUAAUGUAUAGAUCAUAGUUUAGUCUAGCUUC